rnacentral:lncRNA from 1 species
CUAGGGCACCCCAGUCCCUGCCAGGUGUCCAUCACCCCCCAGAAAGCGGUGGUGGAGUUGGGCACCCCCUUCCUCUUCAACUGCACCAGUUCCUGCCCCAAUUCCAGUCGCUUGGACUGGGAGGUCCCAGUUACCAAACUGGGGGGGCGGGGACCCGGUUGGGUGUCCCUCGAUGUCCCCAACGUCACCGACUGGCACUUGGACCUUCAAUGUUACGCCCAUUUCGGGGGGCACCGCGUCGUCGCCAACGCCACCCUCCACGCUUACACUGCCCCCCACCACGUCCAAGUGUGGGCAUCGCACAGCCUCUUCACCACCGGUGACAACCUGACGGUGACGUGUCGGGCAGAGGGCAACCCCCCACCAGAGCUGCGCUGGGAGAUGCCCACCAAUGCCAACCUGGAGGUGAGGGAUGGUGGCACCAACGUCAUCGUCCCGGAUGCCCAACGGGAGCACGGUGGCACCUACCGCUGUCUGGCCAAGAACCGCUUUGGCACCGUCACUGCCAGCAUCGACGUCCUCUUCCAAGGAUCCUCCAGCAGCCUCCUCAUCCCGGUGGUGGUGACCUUGGUGGUGAUCAUCCUCCUGGUCCUUCUCGC